GAAAAAAAAAGAAACAGAAAAAGGGAAAGAAGCGCCGGCCCCUCCCCCUGGCCGCGCGCGCGCGCGCGUGUGUAUGUGCAUGUGCGUGCGCCCGCCGCUUGCGUCACUCGCCCCCGGUACGUGAGGCCGUAACCCUGCGUGCGUCACGACGCCGACGCCGCUGCCACCGACGCGCCUAGGUCACGGUUGCCUUGGCGACUGCGACGCGCCCGCCCGCCCGCGCGCGCGACCCUGGGCUGCUUGGCUGGCCUUGGAGAGGGAGGGGCGCGGACGGAGCGAGGAGCUGCAGGAAUAGCGGCCCGGAAAAGGGACCGGGGCGGAGGGAGCAGCCAGAGCCUACAAAUUAGCGUGAGAAAGCAUGAAGUCCAGGGAGCUGUAUUGCUGACAGGCAGAAUAUGCCCAAAUGCCUCACCUUCUGCUGUAGAUGUUACCACACCAGAGAAUUUAUUAUGGCAGAAGCUUUUAUGAACAAGAGUCUGCUUUGUCAGAUGCAUGAAGUGUUAUCCGAAGUUGCCUGAGUGAGGCUUUCGAGGUUGAGAAAAGUUUUGUCCCACUUGGGGAGAAGGAAUAAUGUCUCACCUCUCCUGGAGAACAUGGGGGAAGAGACAUGAGAAAACUUAGUCGUGUCACUUAAGAGGAGCAGGGUUUGUGGUUGCUAGUUUUCUCAGGGCCCAGGGUUGUGGGUCGCGAGGUUCAUUGUGACAUCUCCCUCUGCUAGCUCAUUGGUCGCCAGAGCUCUAGAAGGCCUGGGCAUCUCCUAUACUUGGAUCAUUCUGAGAGAGAGAGAGAGAGAGAGAGAGAGGAGAAGACAUGUAAGUAGGAUUUCUCUCAGCAUCUGAAUUCUGUGAUGAUAGAGAAUUCAUCUUGAGCAUAGAGGUAUUAGAGAGUGCUGUGAGUCCCAUUUCUCUUUCUUUUCUAGGCUUUCUAGACUGAGAAGUCCUUUCCCAGUUGGGAAAAAAGAAUAAAAAAUUCCUCUCCCAGAGACCUCCCCCUCGCCCACCGCCUCCCCCUCUGGACCCCUCUUUGAGAGGACACAAAAGGCUCUGCGGACCUCCUAUCCUGGUCUGGAAGAAGAUGGCAGGAGGAAGAAAUGCCAAGGAAAACAUGAAGGCAAUGUCUAUUUCCAAGGAUAUGUUCAGAGUUAAUAGGAAACUCCCUAGAAAUCAGUUCUACUUGAUUGCCUUCUCUUCUUUGCCAUUCAGAGAUGAUAUGAUAGUUGAAUACCUGGAGGGAGAGCAGGGGCUUUGAAGUUCUCCAUCAUCUGUGCAGCAGACCGAGAAGACAAACAGGUCACCUAGUCACAGUCAUCCCUGCUAUGGGCACAGGACUUUGGUUAUAACAUCAAUAUGGAACAGUGGGGAAGGUUAUGGCAGCAAGA